CCCCCCACCUGACCUCGCUGUGUGCUGGCGGGCCAGCGUCUGCCCCUCUCUGGGCCUCUGUCAAGUGCAGAUGGGAGCAGAUGUUCUCCGCGUGCACGGGCGCACGCGCACCCACACGCCAGCCAUUCUCUCCUCACCGUCACCUAAUUACCCUCGAUGCACUGUUAAUCAUUCCCUCCCAAAUACCAAACGCCCACCACCACCGCCCAGCCUCCUCCCCAGCUGUGCGCCUCUCAUUUCCAAUAGAUCUGCCUCGUGCUUGGAAUAAAUUGCCCAUCAUCUGCAUAAUGCGCAGCGACUCCUCGCUCUCCACAUCAAAUCAUUUCUCAAUCUCAUUUUGUAAAAUCCAUCAAGAAUAAUUCUUUCAAAACUGAAAUAAACCCUCACUCUGGCACUUGAAUCCAUAAAUUCCUUGUCUUUGAAUCUGAGAUAUAUUACUUUCUACAAAGCACAUCUAAGAUCCCAUAAUAUAAUCAGAUACGCUAACAAUGAUAAAUCAACGGGAUCCUGUAAUACAUAAAAAUGCAAAUCCAAACCACCACGGAAAUCACCUCUUCUCCCGAUGCCCCUUACAAGGACCACCAGGCUUUGAAGCUGGGCAGUGCUUAGGCACCACCUGGGGGAGAGGACAUGCUUUUCCAACCUCUAUCCUCCGAAACAGGGGAGCAGGGUUUCCAGUUUUCUCCCCGCUCAGGCUCUGUGGGCUAAACGGCUGGCCGCCUCUACCGUGUACCAGCUGUGUGACCGUGGAUGAAUCCCAUAACUCUCGGAGCCUCGAUGUUCUCAUCUAUAAAAUGGGAACAAGAUCAGCCCUCGCCUCGUAAGCCUGCUGUGAGGAUGCGAUGGGGCGUUGCGGACCGCUCCGAGCAGGCAGGGUGCUCCCGGGCCGGCUGGCUCUCUCCAUCCUCACUCCUCCACCACAGGCAGAGGGCGAAAAACAACGCACACGAGAAGGGGACCUGGGGCCCACCCGUCCUGCCCGGCACUCACGCUCCCUCGUCUCUUCGGGUGAGAAACCGCUGCCCCCAGCGCUGCUCUGUGAACUGGCCAAGGGCUGCUCCGUGCCUUCCCUCCCAUCACACUCGAACAAGAUCGGUUUGCAGACAGGGACCCAGCCCUCCGAUACUGACGUCCAAGGGCAGUUUAUGCAGGAGAUUGAAGCUCAGAGAAGUGAAGUAACUUGCCUGAGAUCACACAGCCAGUCAACAAAGGCAGAGGGAAGAUUCAAACUGAAGUCCUGUGGCCCAAGCCCCAAGCUCUCUCCUCCUUCCAGACUGGGUAGGGGCAAGACAGCACUCUGGCAGAAUUUAACCAAAAGAUACAAGGGAAGACACCCUCAAAAGGGAGCAUGGACUGCGGGUGCCCUUCUGCAUCCACUUCUCCUGGCUCAUUCUCCUGCACCUGCCAUCUGCCCUCCCCCAGGCCUGGGCUGCAGCGAGCCAGGGCUCCCGCCUGCGCCCACGGCCCUGUCCCCACCCCAGACUCAAGCCUCCACAAACCGCUUCCCAUGCUCCCUCCACCUCAUACCAGAUCACAGGGACUCCCACACUGCCCACCCUCUGCCCCAGGAGGGGAAAGAACACCAUCCUGCCCAGGGCUGCCAGCUGCCCACUGGGCUACACACACCCCUGAGGGCCCAGCCCGAGGCCUCAGCCUGGACUUCCUUGCCCGGCCCCCGGCCAGUCCCCAGCCCUCCUUCCAUCCUGGCUGCUCCAGUCCUGCCACACCAUCUUCACACUGAAAAGUCACUUAACGUCAAGUUGCCAAAUAACUGUCACUGAGAACUAUCACGUAUCUCAAAGCAGAGCGGACCCUGGCCCAACCCUGAUUUUCAAGACACCACGGUAAGCAGAGGGGCAGGAGACGCUGAUCACAGCAGCCACGACGGAAGCUGUACCCUGCCCCUGGGGCCACUUCAAGGCCAGACCUGCAGCCCUGCCGUGAGAGAUGGACAGUGCAGUGGGCAGGGCUCCCUGGAGGCUGCCAGGCCAAGCAAGGGGCCAGCAUCCAUGUCACUGCCCACGCCACCCUCCUCGGGACCGGACAGACCCGCCCAGGGCAGCCCCCCAGCAAAGGGCUCCAGACUCAGGUCUCGGUGAGUGGCCCCAAGUGGGGCUUUCCUGAAACUGUCCCUCUGCCUGGGCC
rnacentral:lncRNA from 1 species